rnacentral:rRNA from 1 species
AUUGAACGCUGGCGGCAGGCCUAACACAUGCAAGUCGAGCGAGCGGCGGACGGGUGAGUAAUGCCUAGGAAUCUGCAUGGUAGUGAGGGAUAACGUACGGAAACGGGCACUAAUCCCGCAUACGAUUGAAUGAGCCGGUGUCGGAUUAGCUAGUUGGCGGGGUAAAGGCCCACCAAGGCGACGAUCCGUAGCUGGUCUGAGAGGAUGACCAGCCACACUGGAACUGAGACACGGUCCAGACUCCUACGGGAGGCAGCAGUGGGGAAUAUUGCACAAUGGGCGCAAGCCUGAUGCAGCCAUGCCGCGUGUAUGAAGAAGGCCUUCGGGUUGUAAAGUACUUUCAGCGGGGAGGCGUUACCCGCAGAAGAAGCACCGGCUAACUCCGUGCCAGCAGCCGCGGUAAUAC